rnacentral:misc_RNA from 1 species
GUGAAUCAUCAAAUCUUUGAACGCAUAUUGCACUUUCUGGUAUUCCGGAGAGUAUGCCUGUUUGAGGGUCAGUUAAAUAAAAAUCGGGGUUGUUGCUACUUUUAGUGGUGAUGCAUCGGAAUUGAGUUGUCUUUACCUUUGGUUAAAGUGACUUAAAAUUAUGUACGAUUUUUGAACGUAUUUAAAUUGUUUACGUAUGUUCAUAAUAUCAUAUAUUAGGUGCGAUCAUUCUUAUGUUUUCGCGUCUAUAAUUUUUCAUUAUUUGUCCUCACA